GAAGUCGAAGAGGCUCAUAGAGAAUUAGAAUGUUUCAGAGAAUUUUUCUCAUGAGAAGCAAAACAGUAGCUUUCUUAUAUAUAAUUCAUCAUCCCACCUGGUUAUUUAUAGCUAUCACAGAUAUCAGAAGUAAUAUUGAAGGGUUUCCUACUAUAGAGCAUCCUGAAGGUCAUCUGCUGAAGGAGAGCUAAAACCUGGCAGGGGUCGUGACUGUCAUAACUGCCUAAUCAUCUGGGAUCAGACCAAAUCACCCAGGUUACUAUUGAUAGCAUCCUUUGUGACUGCGUGCAGGCUAGCCUGCAAGUAUGGAAGUUGUGAAGAAGUAUUAGCAAGGAAUUGAAGGUCACGGGCUGCUGCUGGCUACUGUGACGUGAAGCUGACAGCCUCAAUCAGCCGGGUGCAGUGCGCUGGUUUGCCAGCAUAUGGAACUCAGUACAGUGUGAUGAACCACUCCCUCAGCAUCACUGGGCACAUCUGCACUGCACGUGAUGAAACUGUGCUAUAAAGGCACAGGGGAAAAAAGCACCAGGAUACAUGAAACA